ACGCUGGCGGCGUGCCUAAUACAUGCAAGUAGAACGCUGAAGGAGGAGCUUGCUUCUCCGGAUGAGUUGCGAACGGGUGAGUAACGCGUAGGUAACCUGCCUGGUAGCGGGGGAUAACUAUUAGAAACGAUAGCUAAUACCGCAUAAGAGUAGAUGUCGCAUGACAUUUGCUUAAAAGGUGCAAUUGCAUCACUACCAGAUGGACCUGCGUUGUAUUAGCUAGUUGGUGGGGUAACGGCUCACCAAGGCGACGAUACAUAGCCGACCUGAGAGGGUGAUCGGCCACACUGGGACUGAGACACGGCCCAGACUCCUACGGGAGGCAGCAGUAGGGAAUCUUCGGCAAUGGACGGAAGUCUGACCGAGCAACGCCGCGUGAGUGAAGAAGGUUUUCGGAUCGUAAAGCUCUGUUGUAAGAGAAGAACGAGUGUGAGAGUGGAAAGUUCACACUGUGACGGUAUCUUACCAGAAAGGGACGGCUAACUACGUGCCAGCAGCCGCGGUAAUACGUAGGUCCCGAGCGUUGUCCGGAUUUAUUGGGCGUAAAGCGAGCGCAGGCGGUUAGAUAAGUCUGAAGUUAAAGGCUGUGGCUUAACCAUAGUACGCUUUGGAAACUGUUUAACUUGAGUGCAAGAGGGGAGAGUGGAAUUCCAUGUGUAGCGGUGAAAUGCGUAGAUAUAUGGAGGAACACCGGUGGCGAAAGCGGCUCUCUGGCUUGUAACUGACGCUGAGGCUCGAAAGCGUGGGGAGCAAACAGGAUUAGAUACCCCUGGUAGUCCACGCCGUAAACGAUGAGUGCUAGGUGUUAGACCCUUUCCGGGGUUUAGUGCCGCAGCUAACGCAUUAAGCACUCCGCCUGGGGAGUACGACCGCAAGGUUGAAACUCAAAGGAAUUGAC
rnacentral:rRNA from 1 species